UACGUAGGCAGCGAGCGUUGUUCGGAAUUACUGGGCGUAAAGAGUGUGUAGGCGGUGUUCCCAGUCUGUUGUGAAAUCUCCCGGCUUAACUGGGAGGGUGCAGCGGAAACUAGAAUGCUAGAGGGUGGGAGAGGUAAGCGGAAUUCCUGGUGUAGCGGUGAAAUGCGUAGAUAUUGGGAAGAACACCGGUGGCGAAGGCGGCGCUCUGGACCGAGACUGACGCUGAGGCGCGAAAGCGUGGGGAGCAAACAGG
rnacentral:rRNA from 1 species